rnacentral:tRNA from 1 species
GGAGGGGUGGCCGAGUGGCUUAAGGCGCCGCUCUCGAAAAGCGGUAGAGCUGAAAGGUUCUCGUGGGUUCAAAUCCCACCCCCUCCG